rnacentral:misc_RNA from 1 species
GUCCGAGUUGUAAUUUGUAGAGGAUGUUUCGGGUACCGCCCCGGUCUAAAUUUCUUCGAACAGAAUGUCAAAGAGGGUGAGAAUCCCGUCUUGGACCGGUGGUAGGGCCUAUGUGAAACUCCUUCGACGAGUCGAGUUGUUUGGGAAUGCAGCUCAAAAUGGGUGGUAAAUUUCAUCUAAAGUUAAAUAUUGUCCAGAGACCGAUAGCGCACAAGUAGAGUGAUCGAAAGAUGAAAAGCACUUUGAAAAGAGAGUUAAACAGUAUGUGAAAUUGUUGAAAGGGAAGCGCUUGCAACCAGACUUGAGCGCGACGGUUCCCCCUUCCUUUUGGUUGGGCUACUCCGUCGUGUCCAGGCCAACAUCGGUUCUGGGGGUCGGUCAAAGGCCUUGGGAAUGUAUCUACCUCCGGGUCGACUUAUAGCCCAGGGUGUCAUGCGACCUCCCGGGACCGAGGAACGCGCUUGGCUCGGAUGUUGGCGUAAUGGUUGUCAGCGACCCGUCUUGAAACACGGACCAAGGAGUCUAACAUCUAUGCGAGUGUUUGGGUGUCAAACCCGGAACGCGAAAUGAAAGUGAACGGAGGUAGGAAGCUUCGGCUGCACUAUCGACCGAUCCUGAUGUCUUCGGAUGGAUUUGAGUAAGAGCAUAGCUGUUGGGACCCGAAAGAUGGUGAACUAUGCCUGAAUAGGGUGAAGCCAGAGGAAACUCUGGUGGAGGCUCGCAGCGGUUCUGACGUGCAAAUCGAUCGUCAAAUUUGGGUAUAGGGGCGAAAGACUAAUC